CACCACUGAGCCCCCCGCUCGGGUCAGCGCCGUUGGAUAUUUUUGCCAGUGAUCAUGAUGCAGGAGAUGAGUGCAUCCUUGUGAAAUCCAACGGGCAUCCUAAGGGACGAGGUGCUGCUGGCAUCCUGAGCUUUUUAAGGGGCAGUAGGGAAAACUGGAGGGCUCAGGGCAGUAGCUGGGGGCUCUUGAAGGGGCUUUGAGGUGCUGUGGGUUCAGAAUUGUUGGUAGAGCAACAAAGUGCUCAGUGACUGUCUGAAGAAACUUCUGUGCCGCAAAAGGCUACUCAGAAGUGCAGAGUCAGUUUAGGACAAGUAAACAAUCCUUUGAGCUUACUGGCACCACGUCAGGUUUCCUUCCCUGGUGUUGUGCAUCAUUUCUGGAACUGCAGAGAAAAGGGGAAGGGGUAUCUCAUGCUGCUCGACUGUGGGUGUCCCUGUCUGCACAAGGUGCCCUGGCUUCCCUUGCACUUGCCAGCCAUCUCAUUGAUGGAGAGCUGCCCAGGCAAAUAAAAAUGGCCUUACUUGGAUACUGAAUCAAUCACUGCUAACUGUAACAAGGUUGAGACAGUCAGCUCAAAUAGAGACAGCUCUGUGUAAGUGUUGACAGCCUGGAACUAAGUCUUGUGGCUUGUGCUUUGUGUCAGCAUAAAAGCUGGUAUUUAGAAUGUCCAUAUAGCUUGAAAUUUUAUAAAGCUUGUGAAAGAAGAUCUCUUGAUUUCUUAUGGUAACUUAAAAUCAGAACAUUCGGAAUAUCAUAGGAGUGCAUAUCAUCAGGAUAUGCCACAGAGGGCUUAUCUUUUAUGCUUGGAUAGACAGUCUUUUCCCGCAAAAUGUUUUACAUGGGAGGAUGUCUCUGCCUGCUGAGGCUCUCCUCUUCCAUGAAACUCUUAUCUGUGAGCCUGUAGACAUGUCAGUAUUUCCACUGACAUAACGCAGCAGCAGCCAUUUGUUGCUUAAUCUUGUGCUUUGUUGCUUUUUUUUAAUUUAUUUUUUUAUUUUUUUUAUUGCAAAUGUGGUGCUAUUUUCCUAUUUUGAUUUUGAGAAAAGGUAUUGCCUGGGUCUGGUUCACUCUGGUCUGCCCAGUCAGAUUUGGACUCAGGAUUAAGUCAUUUUAUAUGGAAGUUUUGUACUUUUGCCCAUGAUUGCUGCAGAAGAGAUUUAAAUUACUGAAUUAGUGGUGGAGAAUUUUCUUCCGUUAUCCCCUUCUCAAGCCAUCAUACUGCUGUACCUGAGCUCUGUUCCAUGGCCAGGAUCUGUAUGCAGUCUGCUGCAGUGUGGUGCUGCAGUGGAAAGGUUGCUUUCUGUGUUAGAAAUUGAGUGUGAGCACUGAAAGAUUUGAGUUUGCAAGCUUGAUUUAUGCAGCUUCAGUUACUCAACCUUUUUCUCAUGCUACUUAUAUACUAAUGUGAAGAAAAAAAUGUAUUUUUAAGUGUUUCACUGCUUGGUAGAAAAGGUAGAAGAUCUGAAUUUAUUAGCAUUUUUUGUAAUAAAUCUUGCACUCUGUGCUCUGCACAUCAUGGUUUAGAGUGAACCCAUACAGAAUUUAGUCCGUUCACUUCAAAAGAAAUUGUGGUCUCAGUAGAAUGUAGUACUGCAUUGACAGCUUUUGUUGACAAGUGUUCUGACAAGUCCUGCUCGUGAACUGGCGCGGGUCAGUUUCAGCAUGUCAGGUUUCAGUAGGCCUGCAAUUGUGAGAAUUUCCAAGAUUCUCACAGCCUUGGAAAUAUGUCUUGUGAGUCAACUGGUUUCUGGUCACAGCACAGAAGAUACGUUGUAAACCCAGUAGGGAUACACAGAGAUUCCAUAGCAAGAACCAGUGGUGAGUUAAAAGAUGCCCAAAAAGCCACGGAAUGAACUGAAGGCACUUUGGCGUCACUGCCAUCUGCAGUGUGCCUUAGCAGCAGGUGAGGCAAGUGGAAGGCCCUGGCUUCAUGAAACCUCUUGUCAUCUAUGGACAGUGUGUUAGCUCUCACUUUCACUUCUCUUACCAUUGCAGGUAGUUACUGAACAGCUACGUCAUUUAUCAGUUUUCCAAGAUGAAAAUAUUUGGCUCACAAUCUUUAGGCCAAUACCCAACUAAAAGUGGAUGAAGAGGCGAUCUCAGGUGUCACUGACUGUAUUUUAUUUCGUUACCCAUCUCUGUUGGUUGCAGAAUUAGCUUUAGUUAGCACGGCACCCAACUUGUUUGCAUGACCUAGCUGUCACAAUAUUUUCAUUUUCACUUCAUAGUUAAUGCACAAACGCUGCCUUUAGAGCCUGCUGGAAUGUGCCUGAGAAAUAUUUUUGUACCUUUUUAAGUAUUAGCUGACAGACAGCUAAACAGCCAACUCUGGCAAAUAACCAGCAGCUGCCAUUGAAUCUUCAAGCAUUAUUCUUUAGCACCACUCAGAUUCUAGACUCUAGUGGGGCUGAGAGUAUUUGAACUAAUUUAAUAAAGUAAUGAUUUAAACAAUUUAAAAGGAAAGUUCUGAAGUGUCUUAAAGAAAAUCUAGAAAAGCUAAUUACAGUAAUGUGCAAGCUUUAAAACUGAAGUCCCUUAUACUUCCUGUCACUGUGUGCAUUGCGUUGUUCUGUAGAGCCAGGCUUCUGUCAUGUCUGUUUAUUUUCCAGGAAAAAAAGAAAAAAGAAAAGAUCAGUAUUUUAAAGCAUGUUUUAAGUUUGACAUGGAUUUCAAAAAUGAACAUAGGGAGCUUGUCAUGUAUUUGAUUUAUUUCAUAACGAUUCCCUAAACCGGAAUGUACUGUAAUGGUAAGUGACGUGUACAUCCUUACAGUAGCAAGCAAGUAAUAGAGACAGUGCACAGCUCCAAAUAUUCUAUUGCUAUACUGACCUAACGGCUGAUGUGUGCAGUGUUGCUGAUAUCUGAUUAGCAGUCUGGGAACUUUAAGAAAUACUUUCUCACUUUCUCUAAAGGAAAGUGUUCACCUGGGGAUGAAAUAAAAAUUUGAUCCUUCCCACCCUCACAGUAAGAACAAACGUAAGCAUUUUCCAAAUGAAUUGUUUCUGAAUAAAAGGUUGGAAAAUUUGUUCUCAGCUUCUGUGCCUUAUUAAUGCAUACAGAGCUUCACAUCUCUAAUUCCUUAGCAGUGUGUGCUGUGCAAAUAAAAGCCCAGAGUCCAGAGGAUGUGUAAGGAGCUCAGAAAUCUGCACUCCCUGUGCAGUGCAGUCUGGCAAAAUAAACUUCUGGCAUUCGCUGUUCAGAAGUGCAGUGUGCCUGAAGCAAAGUCCUGGCAAUUCACUUCUAUUCAGCGAAGGAUUCUUCUCCUACUUGAAUAAUUUGAAACAUUUUAGAGUUGUGGGACACUUUUGAAAAAGGAAGGUCUUUAAUAUUGAUAUUCAUGCCUAUUUAGAUUAUCGAUUUUCCAUCCCAGCUCAGCUAUUGGUGGUUAUGCCUGAGUAAGCCAUAAAAAUCAGGUCUUUACUGGAUACAUCCCAUGCCAAAUAUUGUUGCUGCGUUUUUAUUUUCUAUAGGUAGGAUGCCGCUGCAUUUACAAUGCAAUCAAAUGAGAACGUGACAGAGACUCUGUAAGUGGUGGAUUUUGCUUCUUUUCUAAAUGGUGUGUAAAAAAAAGGGUACUGUUUUUUGCUUUGUACAAAAAUAUUUGCUCCUUUGUACAAAAACAUGGGUGUUUUCCGUCCUCUAAUUCAUUAAAUCUUGACCUGAAAGAAUAGGUGGGUAUACCAUUGCAGCUGUAAAUCUGUACUUUCUGAAAGUCUUUCACUAGGAUAGCACUGCAAAAAAGGAAAAACAGGAUGCCUAGAUACUUUUAAUUUUUGAAGGUACAGUCAGUUUACUUAUUUAUUGCACUUAAGAAAAGCAAGAAUGAGUGCUUUGGUCCAAUGUACAGCAAGGAAGUGCUCACAUGUGCUGUCGGUACACAUACCUCUCAUAUCACUGCAGCUUCAUCUAUCUUCCACAUUUUAGUAGGUACCAUCUUUUAAGGGGGGGAAUACUGUUGGAAGUGAUCCUACUUUGGUGGUUUCUGGGCUCCUCUUGCUGAAUCCAGUUAGCCUGAAUGAAGGAUAUGGAGUGGCAGCAUUGCUGGGUGAACGCUACCGUUACUGAGAGCAGAAGAGUGAUUCUGUUUGUUGAUGUGCCUUUGGUCACUGAGCACCGUGAGAGCAUUCUGAGUAUUUGUGUUUGUAGUUCAGAUGGCAAGUAGCCUAAAGACUGCUUGUGCACAAGUGGCUCAGAGCACAUCAGUGCCAUCUGCAUUGUAACACAUUACCUCUGAUUUUAAGCCUGAAAGUUCCUUCCAGUAUUAAGGCCCAGGAAACUCAUUAGCCAUCUGACCUGGGACAAAUCUGCCUUUUGUUUCUCAUUACAAUCAUGUUUUUUCUUUGUGAAAUUCCUUGGAACUGCUAUUAUCAUAUACACAAGACAUACACAAGACAGACUUCUGCACAGUGUGGUGUAUUGUAAUGAAUGUUUCUUUAUUCUUUGUCAAAUCUGGAAGGUGGUGCUUAGGCAGAUUUCCCUAUACCUCAUUAAAAAUAAGCCUGCUAAAGGAAUAGAUGAGAAAAGAAUUGAAAGGAUAUGUUUUGGUGUGGUAGUGGGUUUUUCUGUUUGGUUUGUUUUGUUGUUGUUUUCUGAAAAAUGUCAGGGAGCAGAUUUUCGUAUUUUGAAGAAUUUCAGAGAUGUCUCUUCAUUACAGAAGGCCUUCUGACCAGCUGCAUCUUAUCAACUGCAAAGCAGCUGGAUAGAUUUGAGGUUCAUGUUAUGCUGAGCAAUUUGUUCAUGGUAAAUUGAUCUACUGGGGUUAUUUAAUCUGGCUGAGUCAGCCAUCUUUAUAGAUGCAAUAUGCUGAGCACAGCUUGCAGCUCUCUCCUUUAGCUGUGUGUGUUUGCAAGGCUUUGUCCCCAGCAGAAAUAGCACUUUUGCUGGGAGCUGUUUUGCUACAGGACCAAACAUCUUGCAGGACUGGUGAUGUUUACUAGAUACGCUUCCUAAAGAAUAAGGAUAGGCCAGAAUUUUAGAGGGUAAGAAUUGCAGAAGAAGCAUGGCUGAUAAACGGAAGCUUUGUAGGUGAUUGAGGUCUCAGGGUGCAAUAAGCAUUAAAAGAAACUAGGGAUGACUUUUUUUCACUUAGAAGGUGGUGAGGUACUGGAGCAGGCUGCCUGGAGAAGCUCUGGGUGCCUCUGGUCCUGAUCAUCCUGAUCUAAUGGGUGGCCCGUAGAGGGGGGAUUGGAAGUGAGUGGUCUUUAAGUUCCUUUCCAAUUCAAGCCAUUCUAUGAUUCAAUGAUUUUCAAUGUCAGAAUUCAUGCAGUUAGUACUUGCCUAUGUGAAAACAGAGUCCGCACCCUUUCAACAGAGAAGAGACCUUUUUGUCUGAGAACUAGUGGAAUUAGGGGGAUAAUUUUAAAAAAUCCUGUUUGAAAUCAUACUUUGGGACACUCCUCACUUUGCCCUCACUUUCUAGAGCAUUUCUGAGCAAACUGAGUACUUCUCCCCCAUUUCUGCUGCUGCUUUCAAUAGCUCAGGAAGCUAGCACUCUCUUUCCUGGCAAGGGAGGGAUGUAGGACUGACUCAGUUUCUGUGCAGGACGCUGAGAAUGAAGAUGCUCUGUAGAUGAUCGUUAGUAAUGUAAGGCUGUCCUCUUCCUGGCAAAGCCAUUGGCACUGAGUCUGCUAGGAGUGAAGCAGCACUGCAGUGCCAGGCAGAGCUCCCAUUCCCUUCUUCCCUCCCCACCAUCAUGUGCUCCUCAACAAAUUUUCCACUGUUUACUUAGAAAUCCAUAAAACAAGAGACUGAGGCUGGAGAAGCUCCAUCUGGGGAAGUCAAGGUGGAGGAAACCCCUGCUGCUGCUGUUGUGGGAAAGGAGGCCAUCCCUGCUGAGCCAGAUGAGCCAACAGAGCAGGCUGCGGUACAACUCGUGGCACCCAAACUGCAGACUGUAUGAUCUGGGAGAGCAGUGCAAAGAAGAGUGGUCAGCUGUGUCCGAAAGCUGAGCAUGGAGCCAAGUACAGGUACAGCACUGGAGUAUGAGGCCAUUUAAAGGUAAAAUAUUUCUUUCAAAAAUGGGGGAGAACUGAUGUAGGACAGUGUUCUUCUGUUCUAAGUCAGCAGAGGCAGAUUGCACUCUGUUUAUGGAACUGCAGCAUUACUUAGGCACUGUUUCAGUAAUCCUAUUUACUAGACGUUUACGCCUAGCGUGGCAUAAAAAUAAACAUUGCACUGCCGUGCUUCCCUGCUAAAACUCAGUCAUCCUUACCAUCCCGACUCCUAACUAAUCAAAAGAUCAGUGCUGCUAACUUUACCAGUACAAAAUAGUCCUUAAGAAGUAAGGGCAACUCUCCGUACCUUUCUCUUUCCCAAAAAAUCUGCUUCCAGUUAUGCUUGAAACGAGCCCUCAUUUAAAAGUAUGUGUAUGAAUGCAUCAUAUUUUGAAUGAGGCCCAAGCUGUAAGCAUGGUUGAUGGAAUUCUUAUGGGAAAGAGUUUCCAGGUUACUGAUAGGAGAAGGGUAGGGACAAACACAUUCCUGACAUAGAGCAGUGCUCAUUUCUGAAGGCAAAUUGACUUCAAAAUACAGCUUAUUAAGAAAUUCAGCACUUUUUAAUAAUACAAGUCAGAAAAGUGUUUCUGUACCAACUUGCCAUUGCCAUUAGACACAUGGCUUUUAUGAGGCAGUAGAGAUAUUUGUUUACCUCUCCUGUUAAAAAAAAAAAAAAGAGCAACAUGCUGUAGCAAGCAUGCAUGCUUUGCUAGAGUAAGAAAUAAUUAUAUUUUGCAGUUGAAGCUUGUGGGAUUUUUUUCUUUUUAAAACCCUCUACAGUCUGUUUUAAAAUUAAUGUAAAAAUCAGGUCUUUGCAGCAUGGUUUGGCAGCUUGAAAGAAGAAUUAAUCCUGUAUGUAUAAAAGAAAAGGUGAUGUCACACUGCAGUUUUAGCAGGAUAAAACUGUGAGGGGUUUGCAUGGUAACGCUGCUGUCAGCAGCUGCCUUGCCCUGGCACCUGGACAGGUCUGGGUCUUAUGAGGUGACUGCAGGAAGAUGAGCUUAGAAAACACAUGAGUGAAGUGAAGUUUGGAUAUAACGCAGCAUCCUUUUAUUAAACAAGAUAACAUGCAAGCAUUUCAGAUGAAACGUGCAGGAAUUUUGGUGUGGCAGGUGUGUGGAGGCAGUGAGCUGGAGGCUGAGCACUGAGGUCUGAUCACAAGUGCUGAAGAUGGCGAUCUGCUCUACCUGCACUCACACAGAUCUGCAUGACUUGUCUUCACCCUUACAGGGCUUUUGGAAAAUCUGACAUAUGUAUGUUUGCAGAGCAGCCUCAACAUUUAUUAGUGAAAGAGAUUUCUAUAAGGGGGCUUAGAUUUACUUUUCCUCUGAAAAGCAUCUUUAGAAAUAUCCUGCAGUCUGCAGGAAGCCAAGACUGAGCAGAAGAGAAAAGCACUUCCAAGUCUUCCAAAUGAGACAUGAACUACAGCCAUCUUGACUGUUUGUUGACUUAAACUGGACCUGAACCUCUUGAUCCAGGCUGAGCAAUAGCCAAAACUGAAUCCAAGCUCAAGCAGAAGGGAUGUUGUUGGCUGAAUCCCAAAAUGCUACAGUAGAAUUGGAAACCAGCAGGAGCACAACUGUCCCACAGAGUUUUGGAAAUUGUACGUUUUUUCCUCUUCCAAACCUGGAACUCGUGCAGUUUUACAGCUUCUGUAGCAAAGGACCUUGUGUUAGAUCCCAUCUGUGCUGUAAGAAGUAUUGUUUGGGGUGGAGAGCAUCACUGUUCAGAGCAAUUGAUUCCUUGGACAUCUUCAUGGGUGCCAGAUUUAGAGCCACUGACACAUGUCUGCUGUUUUAAAUGUCAGGCACCCACUGCAUGUACAGCUGAGUGUGGACCUGGAGGAAAGUGAUUCUGCACAAACUGAUGAGCUUUGUGACCCACCUCUUUGAACAAUCCCUUGCUGUGUGUUUCAGCCCAACGUGUGUGGAAGAAGUGUUCCAGAAAGUUUUCCUGCAAACUGGAGAGUAUCGGGGCAGGGGAUAAGGAGACAACUGGAAUUGCUGAGAAAGAGAGUGAGGUGGUGAGUGCUGCAGAUGGGGCACUGGAGUGGAAGAGUGAUGGUGGGAGCAGGAGCUGGUGAGGGUGCUGCUCCCACGGAACAGGAGGCUGCUGCUGGAGGUGACAAACCUCAGGGAGAAG